UGGAAAAUGAAUCAGCAGAAUUAGUCCUGGACCUGGUCCCAUUAUUUUAUAUUUUUGUUUGUCUGGUUACAUAUAUAUUUUUUAAAUAUUUAGUCAGGUGUUUGGGUCAAUUUUUCAGCACUACCUGCUUGUGUGAAAAUAUGUAGCAGUAGUGUUGCUUUUUCCUGAAUAAAAUCUUUGCUUCCUGGAUUUACAGGACGUUACUUGGGUCUGCGCAGGCAGAGAAACAAGUUAGCGCGUAAAGAAAGAACAUCGGUUUGCGGUGGCCCGAAUCGGUACCAAAGCGAUUCAAAUCGGGAAACGGGUUGCGAGGUCUGGUCGUCUACGUGUUCGGGUGUGUUUUGUGACACUUUGACCAGGUCGCUGUGCCGUUAUGUCGGAAGAGGGAACAGCCGAGGCGCGGCUAGCUAACGCUAGGGCUAACGCCGACCCCCAGCUGAGGUCCGGGCCUGUAAUGAGCGCAUCUUCUGGAACAUUCAUCAGCUCUAGAUGAAGGCAGACACUGUUGAGAUGUGCCCUUUGCCCUCAUUACCGGGCUGUGUGUGGGUGUUGACCAGUCAUUGUCUCACCUUCAUGGUGAGCAGUCUCUGGGCGAAGUAGACCUCUGGGUUCUGGAUGCACUGAACUGUUCCAACACAAACACAGAACCAUGAGGAGCCAACCAAUCAGCAAACCUCUCACCUGGGACUCACCUAAAACUCUCAGGCCGAGCCGGAAGUCUCCAGAGAAGUGUUUCUCCACCAGCUGAUCCACAGCCUGCCCCGUCUCCAGCUCCAGCUCCAUCAGCACUGCCAGACGUUCACAGUGAGCAUCUCAGCGCCACCUGCAGGCCGCAGCUGGUCACUUACUCACCUUUAUCCAGGUGAUCCGAGUCUCUGGACGUCAGGAUGUUGAUCCAGGGUCCGGCUUCUGCUUUCUUCCCACUGAGAGAUGCAGCGAGAGCCUGGGAACAUAGGGGAGCAGAGCUGGAGCUCAGGGAGAUGGAGUGGAAAUGAUCCGGACUGCAUGAGGAGCAAAAAAUACCUGAACGUCUCUCUGGACAGAGCCCACAGUAACGGCUUUCUGUUGGGACAAAAUGGAGGACAAAACGACACGCUUCAUCCUCCUGCUGGGACUAAAACAGUUUUAUGCACAUUAUUCAGAUUAAUUCCAACUAAAGAUGGGCUGUAGAUGUCUUUGCACAAAAAUCCAGAAAACAAUUUGCUCUAAAUUAACCAGAAGAUUUUUUUGUGCCUCAGCCUCCGUCCUGCCCCAAGCCAAAAUGUUAAACCUUAAAGCGUGUCAUCCAGCAGAGGGCGCCGCUGAUCCAUGUGUUCAAUACAGCUGACACAAAAUAAUGUUAAAAUAAUAUAUAUAUUUUUUUAAUUCAGCAAAUUCUGAAAACUUUAGUCCUUUUUGGGAAGACGGUCGUCCCUUUGAAAACACUGGAUCAGAAGAAAAUGGCCGCUUUACAUCAAUGUACUAAUUGAUGAUAUUGAGCAGGUUUCCUACAUUCAGCAGAGCCACAACCAGCCGGGCGAAGUCUCCACUGGUUUCUGCUUUCAGCUCCUUCUCCAGAUCCUUCUUAUACACUGAAAUCAGAGAACCAGCAUCAGAACCGAACCGGGCCUGAUUAUAGCAGCAAGACCCAGAGACUCACUCUGACUGUAGACGGCAGCCACUUCCUGCAGCGUCUUCCUGGAGCGGGAACACAGGAUCUCCAGCAGCGUUUCCUCAUCGGUGCCCAGACCCUGCAGACACACGGACCGGAUGAGAACCGCACGAGAACCCCGACGGUGCGGGUGAACUCCCGACCGGACCCGGAGGCUCACCGCCAUGGCCGCCUUCAGCCGCUGGGCCUCCAGCUGCUCCGGCGUCAUCACCAGCUGCAGCAGCAGCUCCUCCAGGUCUCCGGACAGAACCUUCUUCAGAGCAGCGCUCAGAUCCUGCAGCAACACAGAAACACCUGAAGGCCCUCAGCAGCUCCCUGGGUCUCCAGAACCAGAACCGGCCCCGGGUUCUGGCUCACUAAAGGGUCAGAAGGUCAUUCUCUAGAGAAGAAGGACUCGGCGUGUUUCUCAGCCUGCUGUCCGGUUAAAGCUGAGGUCUUCUGUCCUCAGCUUUAACGCUGCAGGCAGGAGCUCAGACAUCAGGACGGGUGUGAUGAGAGGAGGCCACAGAACAGGA